GUGUAACUCAUAACAGUAAUGAUGGCUCUGCUCUAUUUAAAUGCACUGGUAAGUGAUGACAGAAAUACCAGGACCCUGAAACUGAAGCAGCUAAAUGGAUUUCAGCCAUCAUUAAUUUGAUUAUUUACACCUGUGCUUUUUCCACUGUGUCAUAUGAGAAGUGUCUUCUGUGAAUAAAGGCCGAACACACCUCAGAGGGUUUAUCUCAUCCCUCCUACUCACCUGCAGCUUCCGAUUAACAACGUUGAAUGAUCGUGGUUUCCUGAGAAAAGGGUAGAACCAUCGUUAAAAGAAAACGAGGAGAGAGGGGGGGGAAACGGUUGGUCCGGAAUUGCCACCUCCUCCUCUCCCAUCCCCCCACAACUCACCCUUUCUACCCAAGAGCCUCUAAUGCCAUCUGCACUGCCAACGGGGGACACAUUGCCCGUGCCAGGAGGUGGACAAAGACCCUGCCAGAUCCCUGGAGUAUGGGCGCGCUCAAAGGAGCCAUCUUGGGAAAUGUUGCCGCGACACCUAAAAUGGCUGGGCUGGCAUACGAGGAUGGGACCGGACCUGCAAGCCUUUCUGUAGGAAGCUGCUUUGACACGAAGACAUUGUGGACCAAGCUCAAUGAAAUGUUGUCAUCGGGGACACAACAUGAAUUCAAGAGAUUCAUCAGUCGCCUAAACGAGGAGUCGUACUAUGUGUAGAAACAAAAUAGAUAUUCUGUAAGCCUGAAAUGUGUAACUCAAGAUGUGUCUGUUAUUCAUGAAAAUACCAAGUUUAUUUGAAGAUACUGUAUUAAAGAUAAAGUAUGUGCAAUUUGACAUGUUUACACAAAUCUAUCAUUUUCAAAAUUGCAAUUAAAAAAGCCUUGACAGUUCCUACUUCUCACUUACAUUAUGUGCAUUUUCAGAGCUAAUGCAUGUUUGAAUUAUCAUUUGAAUUCAUUGUAGUUGUAAUUGAUAGGAAUAAAUGCAACGAGUAUUGUUUUGAGUUCACUGCUGACACUUCUUUGAAAUAAAAAGAAUGGAAAUAUGAUCAAAUCUGUGUUACGGUCGUGUUUUAUUUUGGUGAUC
rnacentral:lncRNA from 1 species